AGUGAACGCUGGCGGUAGGCCUAACACAUGCAAGUCGAACGGCAGCACAGUAAGAGCUUGCUCUUACGGGUGGCGAGUGGCGGACGGGUGAGGAAUACAUCGGAAUCUACUUUUUCGUGGGGGAUAACAUAGGGAAACUUACGCUAAUACCGCAUACGACCUACGGGUGAAAGCAGGGGAUCUUCGGACCUUGCGCGAUCGAAUGAGCCGAUGUCGGAUUAGCUAGUUGGCGGGGUAAAGGCCCACCAAGGCGACGAUCCGUAGCUGGUCUGAGAGGAUGAUCAGCCACACUGGAACUGAGACACGGUCCAGACUCCUACGGGAGGCAGCAGUGGGGAAUAUUGGACAAUGGGCGCAAGCCUGAUCCAGCCAUACCGCGUGGGUGAAGAAGGCCUUCGGGUUGUAAAGCCCUUUUGUUGGGAAAGAAAAGCAGCAGGUUAAUACCCCGCUGUUCUGACGGUACCCAAAGAAUAAGCACCGGCUAACUUCGUG
rnacentral:rRNA from 1 species